UACAGAGGGGGCAAGCGUUGUUCGGAAUUACUGGGCGUAAAGGGCGCGUAGGCGGCCCGCUAAGUCGAACGUGAAAUCCCCGAGCUCAACUCGGGAACUGCGUCCGAUACUGGAUGGCUCGAGUGUGGGAGAGGAAUGCGGAAUUCCAGGUGUAGCGGUGAAAAUGCGUAGAUAUCAAGUGGAACACCAGUGGCGAAGGCGAGUCCCUGGAAAACUCCUGACACUGAGGCACGAAAGCUAGGGGAGCAAACAGG
rnacentral:rRNA from 1 species